UACGGGGGGAGCAAGCGUUGUUCGGAUUUACUGGGCGUAAAGGGCGCGUAGGCGGUCGUGACAAGUCACUUGUGAAAUCUCCGGGCUUAACUCGGAACGGUCAAGUGAUACUGUCGGACUAGAGUACAGAAGGGGCAACUGGAAUUCUCGGUGUAGCGGUGAAAUGCGUAGAUAUCGAGAGGAACACCUGCGGCGAAGGCGGGUUGCUGGGCUGAUACUACGUGAGGCGCGAAAGCCAGGGAGCGAACGGG
rnacentral:rRNA from 1 species